UUACUUCCACUGAAGUUCAUACCUUUCUUCGUGGGGGCCUGGUGUGCAGUGGCUGCAAAAAGCAACCUCUUUGAAGGUGCACACAUCCUAUUGCUUGAAUGAGUUUCCCUAAGGAACCUUGGAGACAGCC
ensembl:snoRNA SNORA70 Small nucleolar RNA SNORA70